rnacentral:rRNA from 1 species
UACGGGAGGCAGCAGUGGGGAAUAUUGCACAAUGGGCGCAAGCCUGAUGCAGCCAUGCCGCGUGUAUGAAGAAGGCCUUCGGGUUGUAAAGUACUUUCAGCAGUGAGGAAGGCGGGUACGUUAAUAGCGUGCUUGUUUGACGUUAGCUGCAGAAGAAGCACCGGCUAACUCCGUGCCAGCAGCCGCGGUAAUACGGAGGGUGCGAGCGUUAAUCGGAAUUACUGGGCGUAAAGCGCAUGCAGGUGGUUUGUUAAGUCAGAUGUGAAAGCCCGGGGCUCAACCUCGGAAUUGCAUUUGAAACUGGCAGACUAGAGUACUGUAGAGGGGGUAGAAUUUCAGGUGUAGCGGUGAAAUGCGUAGAGAUCUGAAGGAAUACCGGUGGCGAAGGCGGCCCCCUGGACAGAUACUGACACUCAGAUGCGAAAGCGUGGGGAGCAAACAGGAUUAGAUACCCUGGUAG